rnacentral:rRNA from 1 species
AGGGUAAACGCUGGCGGCGUGCCUAAAACAUGCAAGUCGAACGGACACUCGCAAGGGUGUCAGUGGCAGACGGCUGAGUAACGCGUGGGUGACGUACCUAUUGGUGGGGAAUAACUGCCCGAAAGGGUGGCUAAUACCGCAUACGCCCGCUGGAGAUAGCUCCGGUGGGGAAAGCUUCGCAAGAGGCG